rnacentral:tRNA from 1 species
GGUAGAAUGGCUGAGAUUUAGGUAAUAAACUGUAAAUUUAUUUAGGAGAAAUUUUUCUCUUCUACCA